rnacentral:rRNA from 1 species
GACGUAGGGCGCGAGCGUUGUCCGGAUUUAUUGGGCGUAAAGAGCUCGUAGGCGGCUUGUCGCGUCGACUGUGAAAUCCCGUGGCUCAACCGCGGGUCUGCAGUCGAUACGGGCAGGCUAGAGUUCGGUAGGGGAGACUGGAAUUCCUGGUGUAGCGGUGAAAUGCGCAGAUAUCAGGAGGAACACCGAUGGCGAAGGCGGGUCUCUGGGCCGAUACUGACGCUGAGGAGCGAAAGCGUGGGGAGCGAACAGG